ACUCCUACGGGAGGCAGCAGUGAGGAAUAUUGGUCAAUGGAGGCAACUCUGAACCAGCCAUGCCGCGUGCAGGAUGACUGCCCUAUGGGUUGUAAACUACUUUUAUACAGGAAGAAACGUACCCUCGUGAGGGUGCCUGACGGUACUGUAGGAAUAAGCACCGGCUAACUCCGUGCCAGCAGCCGCGGUAAGUACGGAGGGUGCGAGCGUUAUCCGGAUUUAUUGGGUUUAAAGGGUCCGUAGGCGGAUUAAUAAGUCAGUGGUGAAAUCCCAUCGCUUAACGAUGGAACUGCCAUUGAUACUGUUAGUCUUGAAUGAGGUGCAGUGGUUGGAAUGUGUAGUGUAGCGGUGAAAUGCAUAGAUAUUACACAGAACACCGAUUGCGAAGGCAGAUCACUAACCCUAAAUUGACGCUGAGGACGAAAGCGUGGGAGCGAACAGGAUUAGAUACCCCUGGUAGCGACUGA
rnacentral:rRNA from 1 species